UCAUGCCUCAUCCAGGGGAUUCUCAGCUGCCAAUGAUUGACUGAUGCCACAAUAUAAAGGUCUGUCCCAAUUGCCUCAGUUUAGCCCACUUGAGUGUGAUCUUCCCAGAUCCAGCAGCUUUCUGUAGAAUCGACCAAGGUCUCAGUGAAGCCGCAUCACAGAUGAGAAAAUGGAAGGACAGAAAGUUCAAGGAACUUGGCCAAGGCAACACAACCGAGGCUGAAAGUGCUCAGACUGCUCUGAACCCCCCAUCAUGAAAGAAACUAUUGCAAUAAGCUCAUCCUUACUAAGAGGGAAAAUAAAACCUACUCCAAUUGUUAUCAGGUUUUCAUUGGAUCACCUUCAAGUUUCCCAAGUCUGUCUUUUUUUUUUUUUUUUUUUAAUGUAAAGCCUGUUAUAAGAUUAGCAUGUACCAAAUCAAAGAUUACAUUUUAGGGAAUAUUUCAGGGAUCAUGGAAAAAUAAGGCAAGUGACUAUAUUUAAAAUAGUACAAGAAACUGUCUCCAAAGACACAUCCCCUAAGUGGUCAUGUAAUUGAUGUUAUUGUUGUUUUCUUAAAAUCCAGACAAGAUUAGAUAGAAUUCUGUAACUUCGAAAGACAUCCACACCCUUUCCAAUUUUGGCCUCCUAAGCUUAAAAUCUAAAAUAUUUCAAUUCUUGAAAAGAGAAACAUGUAAUUUUUAUUUCCGAAAGAAUACGUUUAGCCAAAAUAUUUUCCUGGAAAUUAUCUUCCCACUGGUGAAUCCUGGAGUCUGAAUUUAGUGCCACCAAUCUCAACACCCGUUGUCUCCCAUAGAGGGAACCUGGUUUUCUCAGCCACAGCUGAUUGCACCAGACAGCCCAGCCAUAACAUUGAGAUCUGUAACCUGCUGCAAAAUUUGAGCUGGGCCACUCAGAACACUCUUUCAGGAAUCUGAAACUAUAGCGACAGUUGUAGCAGCUGAGCUGACAGAUUACAAAGUAACCCAGAUCCACUCUGAGUCAUUUGAAGCUGAAUUUUUGAGGUCAGUAAUCAGCAAAGUGAGGGGAAAAUGGUUCAGAUGAGCAGAGAGGAGCUAUUUAGUAAAAUUUCAUGAGACAGAUCAGCCAUUAGCCAGCCAUUGCUAGUUUUCAGAUUCCACUUGCCAUGAUGCUCAUACAUGCCGCCAUGCCCAAAUACAGGGAUUUUUUUCCCUGUCUCUGUAUUGAUGCAGAAUGACUAUUUCUUCAAGUAGUGCAUGUGCAGCUCUGCUCCUUGUAACCAAAAGAAUACUAAGCAAAACACUAAAACAAAACAAAUGCUCUGCUAUCCCUUACAUUAAAAUAGAAGAAAAUACAAAUAACUUUAGACUAUCCUGAUUACAUUAUUAAAAUAUUUACCUUGGUUCAAAAUUAAGAGAUUAGAUUAGAGCAGCUUGAUUACCCUGCAAAGGUUAUGAAGAGGAAUUUUAUAGAUAGGAAGCAUUUCCCAUGAAAAAGGCACAUAAGACACAUGACCUUUGAGUAAAAAAAAAUGGUAAAAAUGAGAAAAGUUUUGUUUUACACUGUGCAUGUUAUUUUGAUGUUUGACGAUACAAAACACAAAAGUGUUUCACUUGUUUUGCAAACGUGUGGGUCUCAAUGGCUGUAUAAUCCAUCUGUUUCUGAUUUUCCUGCACUUAACUCAUUGAAAUGCUGUUUUGUAAAAAUUAGUUGUUGUCCAAGAAGCCCUUUGAGUCUCCUUUAUGAGCAUAUUUAGCCUUUCUUAGAAACAGGUCUGUUCGCCAAGAGCAAGUGAGCUCGUACAACAAAACAUUCAAAUUUGGAUGGAAACACAAAAUAGAAGAUCAGGUUAGUUUCUUUGGGGGAAAGGGCAGUACACGUAACUUCAGACACAAGUAUUAAUAAAAUUAUCAGACGAAUCUCUUUGUGUUUCCUUAGGGUCUCAGGAGAGAAGCUCAUUUAAGAAAGUAUGAAAGAAUUAAAUUGUUUUAAAUAAAACUUCCUUCAUUGGCAUUGCAGAAAUGAGUAAAAACUCAUAUUCUUUAGUUAGAAUAACCUGCAUAUUUUGUUCAGUGGUCUUCUUGGUGAAAACAUAAAUGUCAAUAAAAAAAUAUACUUUACAGUAAUUUUGCCUGCCUUAAUCAUAUGAAGCACUCAGAGAAAUUGACAAAUUUUAAAAAAUUUUAAAUACUUCAUUCAACACAUUCAUUUAAUAUAGAUUAAGCACCUAUUAUAUGACAGGUAUAAUUCUAUG